CUCUAAAUAUCUUUAUUUCUUUACCAUUUCAGAAACUCAUAUUGUUUCUUAAUAAUAAAAAAAUAAAUAUUGUUAAUCAGAGCAGGGUGGUUAGGGCCAGGGUGGGAAAUUAAAACAAGGGCAGAAACAGGGUCAUUUGAUCUCCCUCACUAGGGCAUCAUUGUUCAGGUCCAAACCCUCUGCAUUUGAUGGCUUCGUGGUUUAAAGCCGCUGAAGUAUUACAAGCAAACACAGUUGGAAGCCAUGGCUAGUGAAAAAGAUGUCGAAGAGUUUCAAUUGGAGAAAGAGUUAAAGCGUCUUCAAGAAGCGAAGUUACAGAAGGCAGCAAAAAUUUUGGAUUCUGGGGCUGUCAGGGCCGCAAGAUUUAUCUGAUGACAUCCAACUGCUAGAGUUCUCCUGCUCUUCUAUCUGGUGGGAAGACUUGAUAAGAUUAUCUUUACACAAAAUCUGUUUGUGCAACCUUAAACUGAAGGCUUUGAAUUCCACAAUAACUCUAUGAAACUAUCUGCAGGUAUUUGUUCAUCUCUUCUUGAUGUAUCUGUUGAUUGCCUUCAGGUAUCGAUAUCUGGCCAUAUGCACAAUUUUUAUAGGAAUUAGAUCAUUAUGAAGGCAUAUAGUAUAUUAUUAAGCAAACAUUGUGCUGCGAUGAAAAUGAAACAUUUUGUUCUUUUAAACUGAAAAAGUAUGUUUCUUACCAUUAGUAA